CAGCAGCUGCGCUUCCCGUCAGGAAACAUUAUCCCCGGGGCCUUACGCAUUCCCUAGGGAGCUGUCCCUGAUCCGGCCCCUGGGCUGGAACACACGGCGCCCACCUACACUGUAGGUUUCCCGGGAUUGCAAUUCCAACGGUCGCCGUGGCUGCACU
rnacentral:other from 3 species